rnacentral:rRNA from 1 species
AAUGAACGUUGGCGGCAUGGAUUAGGCAUGCAAGUCGAGCGAGAAGGAAAUCAAAGUUUACUUUGGUUUCCGGAAAGCGGCGAAAGGGAGAGUAACGCGUAGUUAUCUACCCCAAGGCCCGGAAUAGCUGCGGGAAACUGCAGGUAAUGCCGGAUAAUAUCCCCGGAUCAAAGGUGUGAUUCCGCCUUGGGAGGAGACUGCGUUGUACUAGCUUGUUGGUAGGGUAUGGCCUACCAAGGCUACGAUGCAUAGCGGGCGUGAGAGCGUGGCCCGUCUCACUGGGACUGAAACACUGCCCAGACACCUACGGGUGGCUGCAGUCGAGAAUCUUCGGCAAUGGGCGAAAGCCUGACCGAGCGAUGCCGCGUGCGGGAUGAAGGCCCUCGGGUUGUAAACCGCUGUCGUAGGGGAGAAAGGACCGUUGAAGAGACGGUUUUGAUCUAUCCUAGGAGGAAGUCCGGGCUAAGUUCG